rnacentral:pre_miRNA from 1 species
AGCCUGCAGCGCUGGGUGGAAGACUAGUGAUUUUGUUGUGAUACUGAACAAAAAGACCAACAACAAAACCCAGUCUGCCUCUCAGUGCCGGGUA